UCCCUGGUGGUCCAGUGGUUAAGAAUCUGCCUUCCAAUGCAGGAGACACAGGUUCGAUCCCUGGCCGGGGAA
rnacentral:tRNA from 1 species